rnacentral:rRNA from 1 species
GACGAACGCUGGCGGCGUGCUUAACACAUGCAAGUCGAACGGGAAGGCCCUUCGGGGUACACGAGUGGCGAACGGGUGAGUAACACGUGGGUGAUCUGCCCUGCACUUCGGGAUAAGCCUGGGAAACUGGGUCUAAUACCGGAUAGGACCACUGCCUGCAUGGGUGGUGGUGGAAAGCUUUUGCGGUGUGGGAUGGGCCCGCGGCCUAUCAGCUUGUUGGUGGGGUGAUGGCCUACCAAGGCGACGACGGGUAGCCGGCCUGAGAGGGUGACCGGCCACACUGGGACGGGGAUACGGCCCAGACUCCUACGGGAGGCAGCAGUGGGGAAUAUUGCACAAUGGGCGCAAGCCUGAUGCAGCGACGCCGCGUGAGGGAUGACGGCCUUCGGGUUGUAAACCUCUUUCAGCACCGACGAAGCGCAAGUGACGGUAGGUGCAGAAGAAGGACCGGCCAACUACGUGCCAGCCGCCGCGGUAA